rnacentral:rRNA from 1 species
AUGAACGCUGGCGGCGUGCCUAAUACCUGCCAGUCGAGCGAACAGACGAGGAGCUUGCUCCUCUGACGUUAGCGGCGGACGGGUGAGUAACACGUGGAUAACCUACCUAUAAGACUGGGAUAACUUCGGGAAACCGGAGCUAAUACCGGAUAAUAUAUUGAACCGCAUGGUUCAAUAGUGAAAGACGGUUUUGCUGUCACUUAUAGAUGGAUCCGCGCCGCAUUAGCUAGUUGGUAAGGUAACGGCUUACCAAGGCAACGAUGCGUAGCCGACCUGAGAGGGUGAUCGGCCACACUGGAACUGAGACACGGUCCAGACUCCUACGGGAGGCAGCAGUAGGGAAUCUGCCGCAAUGGGCGAAAGCCUGACGGAGCAACGCCGCGUGAGUGAUGAAGGUCUUCGGAUCGUAAAACUCUGUUAUUAGGGAAGAACAAAUGUGUAAGUAACUAUGCACGUCUUGACGGUACCUAAUCAGAAAGCCACGGCUAACUACGUG